rnacentral:rRNA from 1 species
GAACGCAAGUUGCGCCCGAAGCCUUUUGGCCGAGGGCACGUCUGCCUGGGCGUCACGCAUCGCGUCGCCCCCCACAAUUCUCCGCAAAGGGAACCUGUGUUUUGGGGGCGGAUAUUGGUCUCCCGUGCUCAUGGCGUGGUUGGCCGAAAUAGGAGUCCYUUCGACGGACGCACGAACUAGUGGUGGUCGUAAAAACCCUCGUCUUUUGUUUCGUGCCGUCAGUCGCAAGGGAAACUCUURGAAAACCCCAACGUGUUGUCUCUUGACGACGCUUCGACCGCGACCCCAGGUCAGGCGGGACUACCCGCUGAGUUUAAGCAUAUCAAUAAGCGGAGGAAAAGAAACUUACAAGG